CAACCUUCAAGCCCUGCUUGUGUUGGGGUCCUGCGGCUGCCCGCAGGCCCUGAAAACCAGUGGCGGGCUCGCUAGUCACACCGAGCGCAGUAGCACAUCUCGCUCAGGGCGUGCGGCGGGUUCUUGCCGUUAAACACCCCCCUUUCCACA
rnacentral:misc_RNA from 1 species